rnacentral:piRNA from 1 species
GAGCCUCAUAAAGCUUGUGUGCCCUGUGUUG